UGACCGGUCUCACGUCCUGCCGUGGCCGGUGCUGCGAGAAUCGAAGAGAGAGAGAGAGAGAGAGAGAGAGAGAGAGAGAGAGAGAGAGAGGGAGAGAGAGAGAAAGCCAGUUUCAGAUUUUCUAUACCCAAGUUUGAAGUAUUUACAAGUUUGCCACUGAACUAGUUUUGGUCGCCAUUUCUUCGUUACAACUCCGAUCCAAGCCUAUCGAAUGUCUACGAACUCAUCUCAGUACAGCCUACGUAACCAUA
rnacentral:lncRNA from 1 species